rnacentral:tRNA from 1 species
GGGGUUGUGGCUCAGUGUUAGAGCACUUGCCUAGCACGUGUGAGGCCCUGGGUUCGAUCCUCAGCAUCACAU